rnacentral:rRNA from 1 species
UACAGAGGUCUCAAGCGCUAAUCGGAAUUACUGGGCUUAAAGGGUCCGCAGGCGGUCUGACAAGUACCUUGUGAAAUAUCAGGUCUCAACCCUGAAACUGCUCGGUAGACUGUCAGACUUGAGUGCAAAAGGGGUCGCUGGAACUCUAGGUGGAGCGGUGAAAUGCGUAGAUAUCUAGAGGAACGCCAAAGGUGAAGACAGGCGACUGGUUUGCAACUGACGCUCAUGGACGAAAGCGUGGGGAUCAAACAGG